rnacentral:lncRNA from 10 species
CAGCACUUUAUGAAUUCUGCAGCAGAUGGGCGAGGGCCAGGUAGCAGGCAAGAACAGACUGGGUUAGGCAGGCUGGCACUCUGACAAGGGCAGCCACAGCUGUGGUUCGGGUGUUAUUCAGCACGCCCACCCACCGCACCAGCAGCCUGUCUUCCCCAGCUCACAGCCACGGCCGCCUUAAUGAAGAGUGGAGAUGAGAAAACAGAAGACAAAGAAUGUAAACAGUUUGCCCAAGAAUCUAGCCAAGAAGUGGUGGACCUAGAUGGAACAAUGCCAGCUCUAAAGCACACACUUGGAUCUACUGACUCCUAAAGGUCCCCGGGUCCUUACCUACAAUUCCAAACUCCAAAAAGCUCUGAAAACCACAAGUUCUUCUAACUUAUUUAACAGUAGACCUGGAUUUGACCUGAAUUAUUCAGCAGCAAAAAGUCUUCUGAACUGACUUGAGGUUACUUCUAGUUUUUAUUUGUCCCAUUUGAUGUAAAUACUCAUACAUUUUCACAGAAAAAUAUAUCAGUUUGCUUGUUUGAUCGUGAGGUUCUGUCCCAAUUGCUGCUGGGAAAUUAAAUUAGAUAUUCUUUAUAAAAUUUGGACUUCCUGAAUUCUGAAACCCCUCUGGCUGCAAUCAUUUCUUUGUAGCUUUGUGGACCCAUGCUUUCUUUCCGGAGCGGACUCUCAACAGGAGUUUGAUGACACCAAGGUUGCUUUACAAUUCACAAAUGCAAUUAGUUUAUCUGUUUCUAAAUGUAUUUGUCUGGGCAUUCAUUUAACAGAUACUUACAGCAUGCCUGCUGUGUACUAAGUCCCAUUUUAGGCGCUGUAAGCAGAGUGAGCCAAAUACAUGUUUUCCUGGCCCACAUAAAGCUUAUAGUCUAAGAGAAAUAAUAACAGGGGAAAAUAAAAGGACAACAUAUUUUCACAAUAGGGUGCUAUGAACCAGAGUGGAUAAGGAUGCCCUGCAUUUUCCUAUGUCUCUAGGCACAUACAAUGGAAACUAGUAUAACCUUUAAUAAUGAAGAAAUAAAAGAAUUUGGGAGAAAAAAACAACAACCCAUAAUUAUUCUAAGAGAGUAGGAAACCGUGUGCCUUGAAAUAUUGCAGUAAUUAUCAGGUUAAAUUUCUAUGAUCGCUGCAAUUUCUAUGAAACCUAGAAAUGUUGGGAGCGUAGGCCUGGCAUAUCUCUUAAAGCAAAAUUAUACUUCUUUUUCAUUCAGACUAAAAGGUCAUAAUUAAAGAUAUAAUGAAGCUAAGUGAGUAAUGGGAUCUGCAAUUCACUGGGGAAGUGCAGGAUGCAUGAAGGCCUCCUCCUAUCCCUGAAUGGGGGUCACCAAGUCAGAUGGCCUUGGGAAUGCCACAGAGUCUAGAACCCUCA